rnacentral:rRNA from 1 species
GCGAGUGAAGCGGCAACAGCUCAAAUUUGAAAUCUGGCUUCGGCCCGAGUUGUAAUUUGCAGAGGAUGUAUUUGGCGCGGUGCCUUCCGAGUUCCCUGGAACGGGACGCCAUAGAGGGUGAGAGCCCCGUCUGGUUGGACACCAAGCCUAUGUAAUACUCCUUCGACGAGUCGAGUAGUUUGGGAAUGCUGCUCUAAAUGGGAGGUAAAUCUCUUCUAAAGCUAAAUACCGGCCAGAGACCGAUAGCGCACAAGUAGAGUGAUCGAAAGAUGAAAAGCACCUUGAAAAGGGGGUUAAACAGUACGUGAAAUUGUUGAAAGGGAAGCGUUUAUGACCAGACUUGUGCCGUGUGGCUCAUCCGGGGUUCUCCCCGGUGCACUCCAUACGGUUCAGGCCAACAUCGGUUCUCGUUGGGGGAUAAGAACAGUAGGAACGUGGCCCUCUUCGGAGGGUGUUAUAGCCUAUUGUACGAUACCUUGAUGGGGACCGAGGACCGCGCUUCGGCUAGGAUGUUGGCGUAAUGGUCAUUAGCGACCCGUCUUGAAACACGGACCAAGGAGUCGUCCAUUAGAGCGAGCGUUUGGGUGUAAAACCCGCACGCGUAAUGAAAGUGAAAUUAGGUGAGAGCUUCGGCGCAUCAUCGACCGAUCCUGAAGUUUACGGAUGGAUUUGAGUAAGAGUUUUAACGGACGGACCCGAAAGACAGUGAACUAUGCUUGAAUAGGGUGAAGCCAGAGGAAACUCUGGUGGAGGCUCGCAGCGGUUCUGACGUGCAAAUCGAUCGUCAAAUUUGAGCAUGGGGGCGAAAGACUAAUCGAA